rnacentral:rRNA from 1 species
GACGAACGCUGGCGGCGUGCCUAAUACAUGCAAGUCGAACGAGAGCGACCGGUGCUUGCACUGGUCAAUCUAGUGGCGAACGGGUGAGUAACACGUGGGUAACCUGCCCAUCAGAGGGGGAUAACAUCCGGAAACGGAUGCUAAAACCGCAUAGGUCUUCGAGCCGCAUGGCUUGAAGAGGAAAAGAGGCGCAAGCUUCUGCUGAUGGAUGGACCCGCGGUGCAUUAGCUAGUUGGUGAGGUAACGGCUCACCAAGGCCGGGAUGCAUAGCCGACCUGAGGGGGGGAUCGGCCACAUGGGGACUGAGACACGGCCCAAACUCCUACGGGAGGCAGCAGUAGGGAAUCUUCCGCAAUGGACGCAAGUCUGACGGAGCAACGCCGCGUGAGUGAAGAAGGUGUUCGGAUCGUAAAACUCUGUUGUUAGAGAAGAACAAGUGCUAGAGUAACUGUUAGCGCCUUGACGGUAUCUAACCAGAAAGCCACGGCUAACUACGUG